AGAAUCAACGCUGGCGGCGUGCCUAACACAUGCAAGUCGAACGCGAAAGCCCCUUCGGGGGUAAGUAGAGUGGCGUCCGGGUGAGUAACACGUGGGUAAUCUGCCUUCGGGUGGGGAAUAACCCAGGGAAACUUGGGCUAAUACCGCAUAAUGCAGCGGCACCUAAUGGUGAUUAGUUGUUAAAGCGGGGGAUCGCAAGACCUCGCGCCUGAAGAGGAGCCUGCGGCAGAUUAGCUAGUUGGUGAGGUAAUGGCUCACCAAGGCAUCGAUCUGUAGCUGGUCUGAGAGGACGGCCAGCCACACUGGCACUGACACA
rnacentral:rRNA from 1 species